rnacentral:lncRNA from 1 species
GUGUCGGGUGUCGUUACUUUCUGUUUAGUCGUCUGUUGUUUUCCAUGAUGUGCAGUGUCGAUUGGGAAACUGGAGUUGAAUUUUCGUGUGGUUCUGUUUAUUGUGACUGCUGCGUUUUGGUGUUGUGAAUAAGCAAGAGGAUGCAUAUUUGAAUAUCCUGUGCUCUUUUGGUGGUAGUUUGUGAAUUUUGUCUUGCUCCCCUUUCACCAUUGAUGGAGCUGAUCUACAUUUCCUCUGAUGCCACUCCUGCUUGAUAAUUGAUGGUCAGGUAUUCACCUAGAAAAACAAAGGAGAUACAUAUCUUGUCACUUCUGUUAUUGUCAGAAAGAAGUGCUCUCUUCCCUGGUAUACGUGUGAUUGCCUUGUUUUUUUUUUCCUUUUUUUUUGUUUUGUUUUCAAUCAGGAGGGCAGAAGACGAUAUUGACAAUGAUGAGAGGAGAGCAUUAUGCACCUCUAUUCACUUCUUUAAUAUCGGCUCUGGCAGGCUGUUUGGUAAUUAUGCUUAGCAUUCCUAGCUUUUACUUGGCUUCUAGCUUAAGAUUGAUUCGACAACAUCAGGUCCUGGAUUUUUUCUUCACUUCAAGUAUUUUGAAUCCUAGAUCUAAUUUUUCCAGUUAGGAUAUCUCACGUCCUCGGCAGUACGUGUUACUCACAGUGAGUUUGUGUUCAACAGCGACAAGGUAGACUUUACUGAUAAAAACUGCAAUAAGAGACGC